rnacentral:rRNA from 1 species
UACGGAGGGGGCUAGCGUUGUUCGGAAUUACUGGGCGUAAAGCGCACGUAGGCGGCUUUGUAAGUUAGAGGUGAAAGCCCAGGGCUUAACCCCUGGAAUUGCCUUUAAGACUGCAUCGCUCGAAUUGUGGAGAGGUGAGUGGAAUUCCGAGUGUAGAGGUGAAAUUCGAUAGAUAUUCGGAAGAACACCAGUGGCGAAGGCGACUCACUGGACACAUAUUGACGCUGAGUGCGAAAGCGUGGGAGCAACAGG